AAAUUGAUGGGAAAGUCCGGCGUUCCUUUGUACUAUAAGAGGUGCUAUAACAUAAACUGUCACGCCGUAUAAUGUAGCUAUCGGAAGAAAUACGUUAAUAUAGAGAACCAGAUUAGCUGCCUGGCUAGCUGGAGGAGCUCCACCACCCAAAGAUCAAACGGAUUAAAGCCAUUGUAUCUGACUGGAUAUCCGGUGUUUUUACAGACCACACUGACUAACCAGUACUGAAGAGUGAACGUUAAAGGACUGACAGAUAUCGGUCUUAACACCCGGCGCCUCACCCCUCCACCCAGAGAGCAGCACGACCGGGGCACGGCUAUGACUUGGCAACCCGUCGGACUCCUUCCUCCGUUCGCAGGAUCACUCGCACUCUCCUGAGCCCCCGUGAACAUGGUCCAGGCCGCUUAUCCGGGACCACACCCACCGAGAAACGGGCACACAAGUACAAAAUAAAAGUGAUUUUUCCAUCGCU